rnacentral:rRNA from 1 species
CCUACGGGUGACAGCAGUCGAGAAUCAUUCACAAUGGGGGAAACCCUGAUGGUGCGACGCCGCGUGGGGGAAUGAAGGUCUUCGGAUUGUACACCUCUUUUGUCAGGGGGCAAAGUCACCCACGUGUGGGUGUUGGAGAGUACCUGACGAAACAGCAUCGGCUAACUCCGUGCCAGCAGCCGCGGUAAUACGGAGGAUGCGAGCGUUAUCCGGAUUUAUUGGGUUUAAAGGGUGCGUAGGCGGGUUAUCAAGUCAUCGGUAAAAUCGUGGAGCUCAACUCCAUCCAGCCGUUGAAACUGAUGAUCUUGAGUGGGCGAGAAGUAUGCGGAAUGCGUGGUGUAGCGGUGAAAUGCAUAGAUAUCACGCAGAACUCCGAUUGCGAAGGCAGUUCACUGGACUGCAACUGACACUGAGGUUCGAAAGUGUGGGUAUCAAACAGGAUUAGAUACCCGUGUAGUC